CCUACGGGGUGCUGCAGUCGAGAAUCAUUCACAAUGGGGGAAACCCUGAUGGUGCGACGCCGCGUGGGGGAAUGAAGGUCUUCGGAUUGUAAACCCCUGUCAUGUGGGAGCAAAUUAAAAAGAUAGUACCACAAGAGGAAGAGACGGCUAACUCUGUGCCAGCAGCCGCGGUAAUACAGAGGUCUCAAGCGUUGUUCGGAAUCACUGGGCGUAAAGCGUGCGUAGGCUGUUUCGUAAGUCGUGUGUGAAAGGCGCGGGCUCAACCCGCGGACGGCACAUGAUACUGCGAGACUAGAGUAAGGGAGGGGGAACCGGAAUUCUCGGUGUAGCAGUGAAAUGCGUAGAUAUCGAGAGGAACACUCGUGGCGAAGGCGGGUUCCUGGACAUUAACUGACGCUGAGGCACGAAGGCCAGGGGAGCGAAAGGGAUUAGAUACCCUUGUAGUC
rnacentral:rRNA from 1 species